AUGCCCAUCUUUGGCUAUAUGGAGUCUUUCGUCGAGAUAAAAAUCAUAAGCAAGAUUUCGGGAAGAAACUCCGCCGCCACGAGGCGGAACCUUGGCGGAACCAAUCUAGGGCUCCGGCGGAGCUGUUCUGCCGGGGAAACUUCCCUCCGGGAGGGAGAAAUCAUCACCAUCGUCAUCACCAAUGAUCCUCUCAUCGGGAGGGGGUCAAUCUCCAUGAACAUAUUCACCAACACCAUCUCAUCUCAAACCCUAGUUCAUCUCUUGUAUCAAAUCUUUGUCCCAAAGCCUCAGAUUGGUACCUGUGGGUUGCUAGUAGUGUUGAUUACUCUUUGUAGUUGA
rnacentral:rRNA from 1 species